rnacentral:rRNA from 1 species
AGUGAACGCUGGCGGUAGGCCUAACACAUGCAAGUCGAACGGCAGCACAGUAAGAGCUUGCCCUUACGGGUGGCGAGUGGCGGACGGGUCAGGAAUACAUCGGAAUCUACUUUUUCGUGGGGGAUAACGUAGGGAAACUUACUCUAAUACCGCAUACGCCCUACGGGUGAAAGCAGGGGAUCUUCUGACCUUGUGCGAUUGAAUGAGCCGAUGUCGGAUUAGCUAGUUGGCCGGGUAAAGGCCCACCAUGGCGACGAUCCGUAGCUGGUCUGAGAGGAUGAUCAGCCACACUGGAACUGGAACACGGUCCAGACUACUACGAGAGGCAGCAGUGGGGAAUAUUGGACAAUGGGCGCAAGCCUGAUCCAGCCAUACCGCGUGGGUGAAGAAGGCCUUCGGGUUGUAAAGCCCUUUUGUUGGGAAAGAAAAGCAGCAGGUUAAUACCCCGCUGUUCUGACGGUACCCAAAGAAUAAGCACCGGCUAACUUCGUG